rnacentral:rRNA from 1 species
UACGGAGGGUGCGAGCGUUGUCCGGAAUCAUUGGGCGUAAAGGGCGCGUAGGUGGCGGGACAAGCGUGCGGUGAAAGCUCGGGGCUCAACCCCGAGUCGGCCGUGCGAACUGUUUUGCUUGAGCACUGUAGAGGCAGGCGGAAUUCCGGGUGUAGCGGUGGAAUGCGUAGAUAUCUGGAGGAGCACCGGUGGCGAAGGCGGCGUUCUGGACUGUUUCUGACACUGAAAGACGAAAGCCAGGGGAGCAAACGGG